rnacentral:tRNA from 1 species
GGUGGGUUGGCUCAGUGGUUAGAGCGUAGGUCUCGUAACCGAAAGGUCGCGGGAUCGAAUUGCGCUAGAAGCU